UACGGGGGGGGCAAGCGUUGUUCGGAAUUACUGGGCGUAAAGGGCUCGUAGGCGGCCAACUAAGUCAGACGUGAAAUCCCUCGGCUUAACCGGGGAACUGCGUCUGAUACUGGAUGGCUUGAGUUCGGGAGAGGGAUGCAGAAUUCCAGGUGUAGCGGUGAAAUGCGUAGAUAUCGAGAGGAACACCUGCGGCGAAGGCGGGUAGCUGGGCCGACACUGACGCUGAGGCGCGAAAGCCAGGGGAGCGAACGGG
rnacentral:rRNA from 1 species